AUUGAACGCUGGCGGCAUGCUUUACACAUGCAAGUCGAACGGCAGCGCGGGCUUCGGCCUGGCGGCGAGUGGCGAACGGGUGAGUAAUACAUCGGAACGUGCCCAGCAGUGGGGGAUAGCUCGGCGAAAGCCGGAUUAAUACCGCAUACGACCUGAGGGUGAAAGCGGGGGAUCUUCGGACCUCGCGCUAUUGGAGCGGCCGAUGGCAGAUUAGCUAGUUGGUGGGGUAAAGGCCUACCAAGGCGACGAUCUGUAGCUGGUCUGAGAGGACGACCAGCCACACUGGGACUGAGACACGGCCCAGACUCCUACGGGAGGCAGCAGUGGGGAAUUUUGGACAAUGGGCGAAAGCCUGAUCCAGCAAUGUCGCGUGUGUGAUGAAGGCCUUCGGGUUGUAAAGCACUUUUGGCGGGAACGAAAAGGACUGUGCCAAUACCACGGUUCGAUGACGGUACCCGCAGAAUAAGCACCGGCUAACUACGUG
rnacentral:rRNA from 1 species